rnacentral:sRNA from 1 species
GAGAAACUUACUAUUAUCGUGCUGGAG